UAUUUAGUCAUUCCUUUAUUAUGCAUUAAACGAAUUCUGUAAUAACUUUCCAUAGUAAAUUGAUUCAUGAAAAAUAUGCAUUUAAUUGUCUGCAAACCCAUCACAGGUACAAAUGAGUUAAAAACAAUAAUUGACAAAAGGCACAACAAUUCAUUUAUACCUUUUCUUUUUGUUCUACACCCAUCCAUAAACAAAAUUUAUUUGAUGGGGGAUAUCAAUUCAACAAAUUUGCUUGUUUUAAGUAAAAUUGAGAAAUAGGUGUUGUGGUUGUUUUUGCUAACAAAUACUUUAAUAUUGAGGAUAAAAGUUUGUUCAAUAUUACAUUUACUAUGGUUCAACUUGAACUGAAAAUGGCAUAUAUUUUUCUUUGUUUUGGAAAUCUUCACUUGUUAAUUUCAAUCUGUCAUUUUGGAAAAAUGGAUAUUUUGUUACAUUUGGAAUGGGACCGAACAACAGCCCAAAAUAUUAAAAUAAAAAAAUAAAACUGAAGUAAGUUCCCUUAUCAUUGGAAAAGGGAUAACUGUGGCACAGUUGUGAGCACCUAACACAAUGUCCUGUCUUAAAAUGCCAAGGUAGUCUCUUCUGAAUGAAAAUCCUGUCUUGGUCGAAAAUUUUUCCCUGAUUAGCCUGUGCCUGUGCACAUGCAGUAAGCCAAAUUUUCCCUAAAUGCGGCUUUUAUAAGCCUGAGACUUUUGAUGCAAUCAAGCUUUAAUAAAUUGGUUAAACCAAAAUGCACACAAAACUGGGUUUUCUGCUCUUCAAUAAAUUGACACGAAUAUCUUACUAAUUUAAGGGUUAAAAGUGAAACUAGUGCAUCUUCGAAACAAAUGUUAAUAAGAUAGACAGCUUCACGCUCAACCCUAUUAUUAUGGGUUAUAUUGAACAUCCAGAGCUUUAUUUCAAACACGUCAAUAGCAUGCAAAUUAUCUGUAGGUACCAACCAAACUGACUUUUUAACUCUUUACCAAAAUCACGUUCUAUAUCAAAUGUAAUGAUCGUAAUGAAACUGCCAUUUCUAUAUCAAAGGGGUCAAUGUUGUUUGUGCCUUUGUGUUAGAUGGGUGUUAUAUUUGCGGAGAUCUGGAUAGCAAUUUUAAUCACCAAUACUGUGAUUGUAAUUGUAAUUAUAUGCAAAUGAUAGUAGUAGUAUAAGAAGCGUUGUAUUGACUACAUCAGGAAUGUGCCUUAUGGCUAUAGCCCCCAGAAGAAUUGUUAGUGAUAUGUGGUACAUAUUUACCCAUUUAAAGAUCUUUUUCAAGCUUACUUGAGCAGAAAAUGCUCUGGUAAGAAAUUGUGAUAACCCUAUGUCAAUCAAUGUGCUGUGUGCGUGAGGUCAACUUUUGUCAUUAACACUCUAGAUGCCUAAUUUGUUGAUCAGAUCUUCAUGAAACUUGGCCCAAAACUAGGAAACCAUGUCAUCAGAUCAAAUCUUUCAAAACCCCAUGCCACUAUAGGGGCUAAAUCUCUAUAAAAACUUAGUAAGCAUGCUUAUCUUGACAAUGUCUAAGCCAAUUUGGAAUUUAGGUCAACAGUUAGAAAAGCCUUCUUAACACUCCAGAUGCCACAUUUAUGACUCAAUUUGAUGAAAAAUGCUUAUCUUUCAAUUUUCAAGUCUGAGUUUGAAUCUAUGUCACAUGUACCCAAAAACUAGGUCAUGAGGUGCAAUCUUUCUUCCCACUGAAAAUCGAAUAAACUUGGUCAGAAUGUUGAUCUUGAAUGCUGCAUAUUGAAAUCACAUCAUGUGUGUUCCCAAACUGGGUAACUAGGUAAAAUGUUCUAAAUAUCAUGUUACCACUCUAGAGGUUGCAUUGACGACUCAAUCUUGAUAAAACUUCAUCUUUUGUAUUUUGUCUAGACCAAUUUUGAAAUUAGGUCACAUCUUUCCAUAAACUAGGUCUUUAAGUUAAAUCUCAGACCACUCUAGAAGCCACAUUUAUGACUCAGUCAUGUUUAAAAUAGGGCAUAAUGUUUAUCUUGACAAUAUCAUCUUAUAAUCAAUGCCAUUUUCGAAACUCGCUUAAGUGCGGUCAACAACUAUGUCAAAAGGGCAAGUCUUCUACCAAAGUUUUAAGUCGAACUAAGUCUUCAGGGCCAUCCUGACCCUUUUGUUACAAUAAGCAGGAUGCAGAUAUUUUUCAAAAAAACGAUAUUUUGCAUUAUUUUCAAUUAAAGAACUUAAAGAUUGUAUUUAAAGAAAAUCGUUACAUUUAAGGAAUAUUGUUUUUUUGGCUCAGUGUACUUAAAAUACUUAAAUGUGUAAUGCAUUUAAAUUCAGACUAAAAUGCAUGUUAUGUUUUAAUUCUAUGUUCAAAGAUAUCUGUCAGUUGGAGGAAGAAAGAUCGAGAUGUUUAAAUAGUAGAACAUGCACACAUUGCUGCUUCAGCCUCAAUAUGAAUUGCAGCGGCAGUGGCAGAAGCAACACACUCACAAUUCAACAAUAAACAGUUCCAUUGACGAGCGCUUUUAAAUGACAUCAUGUCAAUGAGCAAGACACCCUUCCCUGAAAACCUCGCAGAUCUAAUGAACAGUGCAACUGCGCCAUAUGUGACCCUUUAGAGAAUGGAAUUCCUGGCCAAAUAUCUAAUCGGUGCCAAUCUGGGCUCCAGAAGCAGCCUCAGCCAUGGGGGACAGGUUUAUGAAGCACCCUGAACUUCUCAAUCUCACAGCAACAGUAGAUCAACAUGACCUCUAGCAGCAGCCUCAGCCAUGGGGGACAGGUUUAUGAAGCAAUCUGGGCUCUAGCAGCAGCCUCAGCCAUGGGGGACAGGUUUAUGAAGCACCCUGAACUCACAGCAACAGAAGAUCAACAUGACCUUCAGCAGCAGCCUCAGCCGUGGGGGACAGGUUUAUGAAGCACCCUGAACUUCUCAAUCUCACAUCAACAGUAGAUCAACAUGACCUCCAGCAGCAGCCUCAGCCAUGGGGGACAGCUGGGCUCCAGCAGCAGCCUCAGCCGUGGGGGACAGGUUUAUGAAGCACCCUGAUCUUCUCAAUCUCACAGCAACAGUAGAUCAACAUGACCUGAAAGCGGUUCGUGUUCAGUGUCUAACAGUAUUCUAAUGACCAAGCCACGUCAGCAAAGCAGCAAUAACAGCAGGCAAG